rnacentral:Y_RNA from 1 species
AGCUGGUCCAAGUACAGUGGUAUUUACAACUAAGUCGUCACAACCACUUACAGAUUUCUUUGUUCCUCUCUAUGCGCACUGCUUCACUUGACAAACCUUAA